GACGAACGCUGGCGGCGUGCUUAACACAUGCAAGUCGAACGGAAAGGCCCUGCUUUUGUGGGGUGCUCGAGUGGCGAACGGGUGAGUAACACGUGAGUAACCUGCCCUUGACUUUGGUAUAACUUCAGGAAACUGGGGCUAAUACCGGAUAGGAGCUCCUGCUGCAUGGUGGGGGGUGGAAAGUUUCGGCGGUUGGGGAUGGACGCGCGGCUUAUCAGCUUGUUGGUGGGGUAGUGGCUUACCAAGGCUUUGACGGGUAGCCGGCCUGAGAGGGUGAACGGCCACAUUGGGACUGAGGUACGGCCCAGACUCCUACGGGAGGCAGCGGUGGGGAAUAUUGCCCAAUGGGCGGAAGCCUGAUGCAGCAACGCCGCGUGCGGGAUGACGGCCUUCGGGUUGUAAACCGCUUUCGCCUGUGACGAAGCGUGAGUGACGGUAAUGGGUAAAGAAGCACCGGCUAACUACGUG
rnacentral:rRNA from 1 species